rnacentral:snRNA from 1 species
GUAAUUUCCUGGAAGGGGAGACACUGUGAUCAGGAAAGCAAUUUUCCCAAGAUGAACCCCAGCCAUUUUCUAGUGUCUCCAAUGACCCCUUCAAUUUCUCACGGGUACGAAGCUUGACUGUACAGUUUGUGGUAGUGGAGGCUACAUUCA